CGGUAAUUUAUUAUUUAUCAGAUUGUUCAAAUUUGUGGUGCCAUUUCCCCGAUCCCCAAUGGCGAUGCCCAUUCGAGCUACUUCGCCGGCGACAGCCAAUCUCGCCGGGAAAAGGUUCAUGCGCUGCCGAUCCUCCGCUUCCGUUACUGCUACGAGAAUUCGUAACUUCGACCAAGCCUUCCGCCUCUUCUCUCCCCCCAAGGAGAGGAUCCGGUGCUCCCGCUUCUUCCCUCCUCUCUUUGCAGUGUCCGAGCCCAUAGGUGGUGCUUCUGCAGUCACUUAUGAAGACCUCACAAAUUCCCUGGAAAAUGUAGAAGUUUUUGAUGUUAUUGGUAAAGCUAUUCGCAUAACUGAUCUGUGGAGAGAUAGGAAAGCUGUAAUUGCAUUUGCACGCCAUUUUGGAUGUGUCUUUUGCCGUAAACGUGCUGAUCUUCUUGCUUCCAAAAAGGAGCUCAUGGAUGCAGCCGGAGUCGCACUUGUUUUGGUUGGGCCUGGUACCGUUGAACAGGCAAAGGCAUUUAUUGAGCAAACCAAAUUUGAAGGAGAAGUUUAUGCAGAUCCUACCCAUUCAUCUUAUGAUGCAAUCAAGUUUGCUUAUGGCGUUUUGACAACUUUUACUCCAUCUGCUGGUAAAAAGAUCCUAGAAUUAUACUUAGAAGGCUAUAGACAGGAUUGGGAGCUGUCAUUUAAAAAGAACACAGUUGAAAGAGGUGGUUGGCAACAAGGAGGCAUAAUCAUAGCAGGCCCUGGUGUGAACAACAUCUCAUACAUCCACAAGGAUAAGGAAGCUGGAGAUGAUCCACCUAUCGAAGAUAUUAUCAAAGCAUGCUGUCAAUGAGAAAAGGAUGGAUAACUGACCUACUUGUUUUACGGUACGCGAUGGACCGACGCCAUGGAGCAGCACUCGAACUUCUCGGAGCAGAGCAAUAAACAGAGGAGGCGGCCGCUGCCGAAGCGAGGCCAGGUCAAAGCCGGGAUCUUUAAGGGCAUCGCGAAGGCAGUCAUCCCCGUGGCCUUCAAGAAAAGAAGCGACGGUGGCUUCACCUCCGACGAGGCUUCUCCGGCGACGAAGAGCGGCUAUACUUCCAGCUUUGACGACGAAGACGAAGAUCGAUGAGUCGCGGAGAAUUCGGAGGAGAGUGAAUUCCUAUGAGUGUGUAUGUAUGUAUGUAUGUAUAUGUUUUUUUUGAAGCUCGGCUCUGUUUUUGAAGGGAAGGGAUAACGAUAGUUUCUCUUUUUUCUGUUCUUGCUACUGGAAGCUGGAAACAGAGUCAGUGGCAGGCAGGGCGGUGUCAUUUGGGAUGAUUUGUGAAUAAAAAAUUGUGAUUUAAA